GCCGGCAGUUAGUUCUCUGCAACUCACACAUUAUCGCCCGCUGAAGCUAAGCAGGGCUUCACCUGAUCAGUAUCUGGAUGGGGGACCACAUGAGAAAGCUAGGUUGCUGCCAGAA
ensembl:rRNA 5S_rRNA 5S ribosomal RNA